rnacentral:rRNA from 1 species
UACGAAGGGGGCUAGCGUUGCUCGGAAUCACUGGGCGUAAAGGGUGCGUAGGCGGGUCUUUAAGUCAGGGGUGAAAUCCUGGAGCUCAACUCCAGAACUGCCUUUGAUACUGAGGAUCUUGAGUUCGGGAGAGGUGAGUGGAACUGCGAGUGUAGAGGUGAAAUUCGUAGAUAUUCGCAAGAACACCAGUGGCGAAGGCGGCUCACUGGCCCGAUACUGACGCUGAGGCACGAAAGCGUGGGGAGCAAACGGGG